GACGAACGCUGGCGGCGUGCUUAACACAUGCAAGUCGAACGGAAAGGCCCUGCUUUUGUGGGGUGCUCGAGUGGCGAACGGGGGAGUAACACGUGAGUAACCUGCCCUUGACUUUGGGAUAACUUCAGGAAACUGGGGCUAAUACCGGAUAGGAGCUCCUGCUGCAUGGGGGGGGUUGGAGAGUUUCGGCGGUUGGGGAUGGUAUAGCGGCUUAUGCGCUUGUUGGGGGGGUAGUGGCUUACCAAGGCUUUGACGGGUAGCCGGCCUGGGAGGGUGACCGGCGACAUUGGGACUGAGAUACGGCCCAGAAUCGUACGGGAGGCAGCAGUGGGGAAUAUUGCACAAUGGGCGGAAGCCUGAUGCAGCAACGCCGCGUGCGGGAUGACGGCCUUCGGGUUGUAAACCGCUUUCGCCUGUGACGAAGCGUGAGUGACGGUAAUGGGUAAAGAAGCACCGGCUAACUACGUG
rnacentral:rRNA from 1 species